AGAGCCAUGUGACUCAUAUGUUAAGGUAGGGACACAAGCACAGGAUAUGAAAAUGUGGUAAGCGAAGCAUGAUUGUAAAUAUAUUUGUUUAACUAUUUAUCAGGUAGGUUUGUUUCCUGAUUCAGAUCCCAGAGGAAGACAGAAGACUCAGAUGGUGCCUCACUGUAGGAAUCCUGUCUUCUUGCAAACCUUUUACUUUGUUAUAGGAGAAAAGGACCAUUAUAAGAGACUGCUUUUCACAAUGUGGAACUGCAACUCGACAAAAAGCAUGAGUUCUUUUCUGGGCUGCAUGAGCUUUGGUGUGCACUCAUUAAUGGAUCCUGUCAAGGUA
rnacentral:lncRNA from 1 species